rnacentral:rRNA from 1 species
GAUACCAGCUUGUCGUAACCUGAUUUCGUCGGAUUUCAGAAGCCAAGCAGGGCCGAGGUUGGUUAGUACUUGGAUGGGAGACUGCUGGGAAUAUCAGGUGCC